AAAUUGAAGAGUUUGAUCAUGGCUCAGAUUGAACGCUGGCGGCAGGCCUAACACAUGCAAGUCGAACGGUAACAGAAAGCAGCUUGCUGCUUUGCUGACGAGUGGCGGACGGGUGAGUAAUGUUUGGGAAACUGCC
rnacentral:rRNA from 1 species